AUGCCUGGCGUGCCCCAUGUAUGCCAUGUCGCCGCGGAUGAUAGGAAUGGUGGUAAAGCUGGCCGGCUCAAUUCCUCGACCGCCACGUCACCGCCGUGUCAGCAGCAGCUAUCCUCCACCGCCGGGGGACGUGCACGGAGGAGGAAGCCGGCGGCAAUGGCCGGUGCCACCCGGGAGCGACCUGGACGACGAUGCAUCGGGUUCCAGCUUGAAGACGGCGUGCGUGUGCACGGCAGGGAACGGAUGGAACCAUCGAUGGUGUGCAGUGGUGGGGCGGGGGGUGGUGGUGGUGGCGGUGUGGCCUCACCCCGGCUUUACUACAACUUGACUUCGGGGAGCAAGCAAGGGAGGGAGCAGUGCGGUGCGUAUCAAGGAGGGGAGGGCAAGAGGAGGAAAUGGCAUGGAGCCCAGCCCUGCAUGGUUAUGCUGCUGUCUCCGGCCGGCCCGGUGGUGACCUCGGCCGCUGUGUGUGUGCCCGCGAAUUUAUGUAGCCUGCUGCCUGCGCAACGCAGGCUCAUCGGAAGACGCACACGCAGUGCAGUCCCGCGACUCGUCAUCUCGGUGCCAUGUUCCGCAGCGCCGUUGUCUUUCUCUUCCAAGAAAAAGAACGCCAGUAAUUUUCCAACAGCUAAUAGUACUCGUAUUGCUCAUGCGGAAUGCACGUCCUGGGUCUCAUUCAUGCAGACCAACGAAUAG
rnacentral:rRNA from 1 species